rnacentral:rRNA from 1 species
AGAGCUCAAAUUUAAAAUCCGACGGUCUAUUCCGUCCGAGUUGUAGCCUAGAGAAGCAUCAUCCGCGCUGGACCAUGUACAAGUCUCUUGGAACAGAGCGUCAUAGAGGGUGAGAAUCCCGUCCUUGACAUGGACUCCCAGUGCUUUGUGUUGUGCUCUCGACGAGUCGAGUUGUUUGGGAAUGCAGCUCAAAAUGGGUGGUAAAUUCCAUCUAAAGCUAAAUAUUGGCGAGAGACCNAUAGCGAA